AGUCAGCAUAUAUGGACACCAGUUCCUGGUCCUCAGCCUCCUCUUCCUGGUAUUCUAGAACCUCAUGACUGAGUUCCAUAGAGAAUUAGAAUGCCUGCCUGCUAAGGACACCCAGACAAUGUCUGCAUCAAGCUCCCUGUGUCUCUCAAGCAAUAGCCAGUGGAGGGUAGCUACAAUAGUUGUUGGCCAAGAGAAAUGUUCCCACCAAGAGCUUCUUUAUUGCUGUCCUGCUUGCUACUGUUUGGAUUUAUUCUCAGGAUGAGUCGAUAAGGCCUUUCUCAAAGACCAUCUGGAUGCUCUUCAGCACACAGGAAGGGAAGGUAGAUUGUGCCAAGAAUUAAGACUUGCUUCCCUCUGUCCUAAAAGCAACCAACCAACCUAAGAGUCAACUCUUCCCAUCCAAGUUUGCACCUCCCAGAAGAAUCGGAUGAUACAGGUGCCGUCCAGCCAAUCAGCGCUGUUAGUCUCGUCUUCUGGACAAGAAAUCUGAGAUCGAAGAGAAUUGUCAGGUGUUUUAUAGUGCACUGAAUUAAAGCCUCCCCCAGCUUGGCAACGGACGGACAGAGGAAGGAUGGUGGCUUCUGCUCAGUUUCUUUAGCUUCAAGAGAACCUAUUUUAAGUCCACCAGAGAAGCUCAUCUUUUUUUUUUUUUUUUCAUCUUUCUUUACUAUGGUGGGAUCAAGGGUGGGCAGAUGUGGGCCAUGAGGAACAGAAGGAUGAACUUUAUUUUUCUGAGAAAGACUGUUAACAAAAACGGAGACUCCAUGGAUGUGAAGGGAAGGUUCACAGAUCUGGCUGUACCUGGAACCUACCUGCAUGAAACCGAUACAUGGCAGAGCCGAGCCAAGAACACCCUGGACUCAGGGGCACUCGCCAUGCCUAGACAAAGCUGAUCUAUCUCUGAAAAUCCAUCCGUGGGAGUUACGUCAUCCCAAAGUGUACCUUUGAGUGUGGCUUGGAUACCUGUUUCUCAUCCAGUUUCUAGUAAGGAAACAGACUUGUCCAAGGUACUUCAGCUAGUGAUUAGGUAUGGUGCCCAUAUUUAUGAUGCCAGUACUUGGGAGGUAGAGGCAGAAGGAUCUAGAAUUCAUGGAGAUCAUUGUUACAUAGAGUUUAAGACUAGUCUGAGCUAUAUAAGCCCAUAGCAAAGAUGGUCUUGGACUCCCUGUCUUCUUGUUUUCAUUUUCUCAGUUCUGGGGUCCAUUUGCUACAAUGCCUGGUUGUAUGAGGCUCUGGGAUUGAAGGCAGGGCUUGGGGAAUGCGGGGCAAACACUCUACCUAGUGCACUACAUCCCCAGCUCAUCUCUAGCGAACCUAAGAGCUGUCUCUCAUUUCAAACACACCAAACAUAUCUCUUCCCGUCCUACUGACACAUGAAAAGAGGACAGGUGACUCAGACCUGGUCCCUAAGUGAUCUGGUUACCUCUUCUGGUAGCUUCCCCUGGACAAUGCUAUUUCUAUGGCCUAGAAUGUUCCAUGCUUCCUUCCUUUGCCUAGCAACACCCAACUUGUUACAAACCUCAGUUUACAUGUCCUAUCCCCACCUUCUCCCAGAUUAGCCUAACUCCCUAGGUAAGUUGAUACAUAACCAUUCAAACCAUGGUAAUCUAUAUUUUUCUAUUCUUACUUUUAUCAUAAUUACAAUUGAUUAUUGCACAAUGCUUUAAAAAGUAACUUCUCUCAAUUCCUAAGGGGCAAAAGUGUGUGUGUGUGCUGUUUAGUGUGGAACAGUGGCUGUCACUUGAGAAAACAUGAAAACCAUUGCUUUCCAUAGUAAUGAAUUUGGAAAAAAAAACUUAGAAGGAAGAACAAAAUCAAAAACAUCCAUGAGGGAGGGGCGUGGAACUGUACUCCUGAAGUUGAUGGCCCAAACAAAAUGGGGUUACCUAUGCUGAAAUUCCACAUCACUUUAGCUAUCAUCUGAGAAGCUCGGGGACAGGGUAUUGGGGAGCAAAGUUUCCUAACAGGCUAGUUUUGUCUGGCAUGAUGAGGAAAUUAAAUACUGCCCUGCUUUAACCUUUAUAAGGAAAAUAAUUUCAAAAUGACUAUCUGACGUUUUCAUAUUCUUUUUCUGUUUCUGUCUUACUUAGGGAUUUUACCGCUAUGAACCGACACCAUGACAAGGCAACUCUUACAAGAAUAACAUUUAAUUGGGGCUACUUAGGUUUAAAGAUUUGGUAUAUUAUCAUCAAGGUGGGAACAUGGCAGCAUCCAGGCAGGCAUGGUACAGGAGGAGCUGAGAGUUCUACAUCUUCAUCUGAAGGCUGCUAGCAGAAUACUGACUUCCAGGCAGCUAGGAUGAGGGUCUUAGAGCUCACACUCACAGUGACACACAUACUCCAACAAGGCCAUACCUUCUAAUAGUGCUACUCCCUGGGCCUAGCAUAUACAAAUCAUAACAUUCCAUUCUCUGGACCCCAUAGACUUGUUCAAACACAUGAGUCUAUGGGGACCAUACCUAAACAUAACAUAAUACAUUUAGUCCCACUUCAAAAGUCCCCAUAGUCUAUAGCAGUCUCAACAAUGUUAAAAGUCCAAAGUUCAUCCAAUCACUUAACUGUAAUCCCCAAUCAAAACAGGAAACCAGCUGGGCAAACUCCAAACCCUGUUAUCUCUAUAUCUGAUGUCAAUGUGGUCUUCAGAUCUCCAACAAACUUCUUUCUCCUGGGCUGUUUCCAUUACUGUUAGCAGCUUUCCUCGGCAGAUAGCCCAUAUCUCGAGCAUCUUGGGGCCUCCAAGGCAACUUCAACGUUACUGUUCUGGGCUUCCCCAAAGGGCUGCAUCACAUCUCCAGCUGUGCCCUCUGUAGCACUCUAAGCUCAGGUUGGUCUACUCCACUGCUGCUGCUGUUCUUGGUGAUCAUCCCAUAGUAAUGUCAUCUUCAAUACGUUGGAAUCUCCUGCUACAGCUAGGCUUCACCAAUAGCCUCUUGCAGGCCCUCUUCAUGAUGCCAAGCCUCAAAUCCUUUGCAUGACCUCUUCGGUCCUGGGCUGUCAACUGCAACUGGAGCAGCACCUUUACCAAUGGCCUUCCAUGGCCUCUCACAGUACAAAGCCUCAGCUGCUCUUCAUGACCCCUUCGUGCCUUCAAAACCAGUACCACCUGGGUGACUCUUGCACAUUACCAAGUACAGCUGCAGCACGAGGUACAACCUUGGCUAUCUCUGGAACACAGCUUCUUUGUGCUCUCAGAAAACACUUCUCAGAAGAUUUCACCCGAGUCAUGCUCUUCCUAAUCCCCACUAAUUUCUUAGCUCCAGCUAACCAGCAUCAAUUGUCCUAGUAGUCUCCUUCUUCUCUUGACUAUGAAGUCAGAGUCCCAUGGCCAAAGCUGAAGUUGCUGAGUUUUGUUGCUUGCAGCAACUGGAACAUGGCCCCUUGUUCUAUUACAUUAUCACCAGCUUCCUCUUUUCCAAUUCCUUCACUGUCUAAGCUUGGCUGUCCUGGAACUUGCUUUGUAGAUUGACCUCGAACACAGAGAUCUGCAUGCCUGGCUCCUGGGAUUAAAGGUGUGUGUCUCCAUGCUUGGAUUCAAGCUUUUCUUCAUCUUGAAUUUGCUCUGUCUCAGGGUGGUCUUGAACUCAAGAGAUCUGCUUGGCUUUAUCUCCUGGGAUUAAAGGUGUGUACCACCAUGCCUGGAUCUAAAUUUAGCUGGUUAGUAUCUUGCCCCAAAGUCCCAAUCCCUUAAUUUGUUAUAUCUUUGAACACAGGGUUCAGCUCCAUUUUACUUUCUGGUACCCCUUUAAUACUCAACCAUAUAUUUUAUAUUUUUCCUUUCCCAACUUGUUACACCUGUUUAAAAUGUUCUUCAUGGGCUGGAGAGAUGGCUCAGUGGUUAAGAGUGCCGACUGCUCUUCCAGAGGUCCUGAGUUCAAUUCCCAGCAACCACAUGGUGGCUCACAACCAUCUGUAAAGAGAUCUCAUGCCCUCUUCUGGUGUGUCUGAAGACAGCUACAGUGAACUUAUAUAUAAUAAAUGAAUAAAUCUUUAAAAAAAAUAAAAUGUUCUUCAUGGGGUUGGGGAUUUAGCUCAGUGGUAGAGCGCUUGCCUAGCAAGCGCAAGGCCCUGGGUUCCGUCCCCAGCUUUGAAAAAAAGAAAAAAAAAUGUCCUUCAUGAGAUUUAACCAGAGAACAAAGUCUUUUUUUUUUUUUUAGACUUCCUUUGUCAAUGCAAUUAAAUCUUUUUACCUUGGCCUCAGGUAGACUCUUCAGACAAGGGCCAAAACCAGCCACAUUCUUCACCAAAACAAAAACAGUCUCUAUGCCACAUACUGAAAUUCUUCUCUGAAACCUCUUGGGCCAGGUCUGCACAGCUCAAAUUACACUCAGCAACAGAGUCUUUCAUAUUCCUACUAGGAAGGCUCAUUAAGCCCCACCUAAAACGUUCCAUGGCUUUCCAAAUCCAAAGUCUCCAAAACCACAUUCUUCCAAACAAAAGCAUGGUCAGACCUAUCACAGCAAUACCCCAGUCCCUGGUACCAACUUCUUAGUUAGGGUUUUACUGCUACGAACCAGACACCAUGACCAAGGCAACUCUUACAAGAAUAACAUUUAAUUGGGGCUGGCUUACCGGUUCAGAGAUUUGGUCCAUUAUCAUCAAGGUGGGAACAUGGCAGCAUCCAGGCGGGCAUGGUACAGGAGGAGCUGAGAGUUUUACACCUUCAUCUGAAGGAUGCUAGGAUGAGGGUCUUAGAGCCCACACCUACAGUGAUACACUUCCUCCAACAAGGCCAUACUUUCUAAUAGUGCCACUCCCUGGGCUGAGCAUAUGCAAACAGUUUCCUUCAAACUUUUCUUGUCUAUGAAAACGUAAAGAUGAUGCUGGGAAGAUAGAAGAGCUUGGUCUGCAGGCAUGAGGACCUGAGUCCCAAAAUCAAGAAUGUUGUGUUCCAGCAUACUUGUAUUCCCCAUGCUGUGGAAGGUGAGACAAGAGAGUUUCUGGACUUACUACCCAGCCAGACUAGCCUAAUUGGUAAGCUCCAGGACAGUAAAGGACCCUGCCUCAAAGAAAGGUGAAUUACAUUCCUGUCCUCUGGCUUUUGUAUGCACACAUGUACAUGUACACCGGCACAAACAUGUAUACCCUCCUGUGGUGGUCUGAAUAAAAAUGGCCCCCAUGGACCCAUAGGGAGUGGCAUUGCUGAGGCUUUGUCAGAGUAGGUAUGGCCUUGCUGGAGGAAAUGUGUUACUGGGAGUGGACUUUGAGAUUUCAGAAGCUCAAGCCAGGCCUAGUGGCUCACUGACCCUUCCUGCUGACUUUGUAUCUGGAUGUAGAGCUCUCAGCUCCCUCUCCAGCACCAUGUCUGCCUGUGUGUCACCGUGCUUCCCGCUAUGAUGACAAUGGACUGAACCUCUGAACUGUUAAGUCAGCUCCAGUGAAAUGUUUUGCUUUGUAAGAGUUACUGUGGUCAUGGUGUCUCUUCACCAUGCAAUAAAUUCUAAGACACCUCUCAAAAGAAUGCACACAUAAUUUAAAGUAAAACUUGUGAAACCAACCUUUUCUGUCCUGUGCCUAUUGUGACAGUUCCGUGUUAUGAGAGCCCCUGAGUCUUGAAUUGCAAACAAAGGCCAGCUAAUUUCUUUGUUUUAUUUUGUUUUGGUUUGGUGUCAACGAGGGUGUUGAGGGUGCCUGGAAGAGAAUGGGUGACAAGAGACACAAAGAAGGACGCCAAGACAAGAGUCUGAUCAAGGCAACAAUUUUAUUUUUCCCAAGCUAUACCCUGAGCUACACCCCGUGGUUUUGCCUUUUGACUUGAAUUGCAUCAUUGGCUUUCCAAAUGUGACCUCUGGGCCUGACGCAUCACCAUCACUGGGGAGCUUGUUUGGAAAAUAUGAAUUUUAGGACCCACCUCAGAUCUACUGAGUAAGAAGCAAGAUGGCCGGAG